rnacentral:rRNA from 1 species
CACGAGCGGAGGAAGAACCAACAGGGAUUGCCCUAGUAACGGCGAGUGAAGCGGCAACAGCUCAAAUUUGAAAGCUGGCCUUCGGGUCCGCGUUGUAAUUUGCAGAGGAAGCUUUGGGCGCGGCGCUGUCUGAGUCCCCUGGAACGGGGCGCCAAAGAGGGUGAGAGCCCCGUAUAGACGGAUGCCUAGCCUGUGUAAAGCUCCUUCGACGAGUCGAGUAGUUUGGGAAUGCUGCUCAAAAUGGGAGGUAAAUUUCUUCUAAAGCUAAAUACCGGCCAGAGACCGAUAGCGCACAAGUAGAGUGAUCGAAAGAUGAAAAGCACUUUGAAAAGAGGGUUAAAUAGCACGUGAAAUUGGUGAAAGGGAAACGCUUGGGACCAGACUUGGGCCCAGGGGGGACUCCCACCUUUUUGGGGGGCCGCGUUCCGGGAGA